UUCUCACUGUCUAAUAACAAGGCAAUCUGAAAUAAAAGUACAGUUAAAUGAUGAAGUGGUGAACUGUUAAACAUAAUUUAGAUGUUCUUACCAGCCACUUGUUCUUCAGUACUUAUUCAGUAUAACAAUCUUUCACAAUAAGCACAUUCUCGAUUUGGCACAGUAUUUAGUUUGAUAAGCAAGUUGAAUACGAUACAGAAUACUUGUUACGAGGGCAACGUCAGUUACAUUUCAAGUACAUGCACUUCAUAGUUUUGCGAAGUUAAAGAACAUAUUCAUUAACGUUCGACAGGAAAUUGGCGUUUUAUGAACAGCAAAGGAUUAUUCUACAAAUUCUGAAGUAACGGGUUUUACGAUGGCAGUUUCUACGAAAUUUCUACAUAUAUGUGUUCUGAGUCUUCUCAUCUUGGAGUUUGUAGAAAGCCAGCGAACACAAUGUUGUAGUAAAUGUCGACUAGUGGGAUAUUUGUGUGUCAGAUUUGGGAACGGAUGCAGGUGCCGGAACCCGGGAAAUAACGACCCCAUUGUGGGAGAUUCACUGCCUUACGACAACGAAGACUUCAAACCGCCUUAUCAACCCAUUAACGAAAUAGUGGACUUCCAGCCAAUAUAUAUAAGGAAUUAACACAUGCAAUGUUUAUCGUCGGAGUUAUCUGUUUAAAAGUAACAUUAUGAUUACUCGAAACUUAAGGUGUGGAAGUGGUAUUAAAAUUGUUGUUUCCAAAGCAUCGAUUUUGAAAAAAAAGUUUUAAUAAGUUUAACUAUCUUUGGGGAAAUAAAGAUUUUCAUGUUUUGGAGCGAAAAUAUAUACUUCUCUUUUGGAAUACUAGUAUGACAAUUGCGAGAUUUGAUCACCGAUAUACUCAACGUCGAAUUAUUAGUUUUAUAUUCAUAUUUCCAUGUUUGAAUGUUAAAUGAAAGAACAUGGUUUUUGUAGGCUGCCUCUAUUUUACAAUAUAUGAUGUGUGUAAGCAAAACUAA